CUGAUCAGCCAUGCCGCGUGCAGGAAGAAUGCCCUAUGGGUAGUAAACUGCUUUUAUACGGGAAGAAAAAGAGCUACGUGUAGCUUACUGACGGUACCGUAAGAAUAAGGACCGGCUAACUCCGUGCCAGCAGCCGCGGUAAUACGGAGGGUCCGAGCGUUAUCCGGAAUUAUUGGGUUUAAAGGGUCCGUAGGCGGGCCGUUAAGUCAGGGGUGAAAGUCUGCGGCUCAACCGUACCGUAGAAAUGCCUUUGAUACUGGCGGUCUUGAGUUAUGGUGAAGUUGCCGGAAUAUGUAGUGUAGCGGUGAAAUGCAUAGAUAUUACAUAGAACACCGAUUGCGAAGGCAGA
rnacentral:rRNA from 1 species